CCCAGCUGUAGGCAAUUCCCUAGGAUGUGUUGUACCUAGGCGAGUGUCACACUGUUAGAAGAAAAUCAGCCAAUAGCUGGUGGGCAUUCUGGUUCCGAUUAAUGCCAAAUUGGUGUUAACUAU
ensembl:snoRNA SNORA74 Small nucleolar RNA SNORA74